AGAGUUUGAUCCUGGCUCAGAACGAACGCUGGCGGCAGGCUUAACACAUGCAAGUCGAACGCGUGUAGCAAUACACGAGUGGCGCACGGGUGAGUAACGCGUGGAUAUCUGCCUUUUGGUUCGGAAUAACCCCGGGAAACUGGGGCUAAUACCGGAUGGUUCCUACGGGAUAAAGAUUUAUCGCCAAAAGAUGAGUCCGCGUCCGAUUAGCUAGUUGGUGGGGUAAUGGCCUACCAAGGCGACGAUCGGUAGCUGGUCUGAGAGGACGAUCAGCCACACUGGGACUGAGACACGGCCCAGACUCCUACGGGAGGCAGCAGUGGGGAAUAUUGGACAAUGGGGGCAACCCUGAUCCAGCCAUGCCGCGUGAGUGAUGAAGGCCUUCGGGUUGUAAAGCUCUUUUGGCGGGGACGAUGAUGACGGUACCCGCAGAAUAAGCCCCGGCUAACUUCGUGCCAGCAGCCGCGGUAAGACGAAGGGGGCUAGCGUUGUUCGGAAUUACUGGGCGUAAAGCGCGUGUAGGCGGUUGUCCAAGUCGGGUGUGAAAGCCUUGAGCUCAACUCAAGAAAUGCACUCGAUACUGGGCGACUAGAGUGCCGGAGAGGAUAGUGGAAUUCCCAGUGUAGUGGUGAAAUACGUAGAGAUUGGGAAGAACACCAGUGGCGAGGGCGGCUAUCUGGACGGUUACUGACGCUAAGACGCGAAAGCGUGGGGAGCAAACAGGAUUAGAUACCCCCGUAGUCC
rnacentral:rRNA from 1 species